CGAUCCGCGGUACGCGAUGCUUGGCCUGGUUGCAGGCGAGUGCAUGCACGAGCCUGGCGGUUGUGAGCACUGCGGAGCGACUGGUUAUCGCGGUCGCGUCGGCGUCUUCGAAAUCCUGAAUGUCACCGAGGAUAUCCGCCAUCUGGUCGAUAGGCAGUUCGGUUCAACCGCGAUCGACAAGGCUGCUAUCAAAGCCGGCAUGACGACCAUGAUCGACGACGGCGUUGCCAAGUGCCGCGCUGGCGUCA
rnacentral:misc_RNA from 1 species